GUCUAUGGCCAUACCACCCUGAACAAGCCCAAUCUCAUCUGAUCUCAGAAGCUAAGCAGGAUCAGGCCAUUUUAGUACUUGGAUGGGAGACCACCUAGGAAGACCAGGUGCUGUAGGCG
rnacentral:rRNA from 1 species